rnacentral:rRNA from 1 species
CGUGAAUGUCGGUCCGAGAGCCGCGUUAAUACGGAGGGGGCGAGCGUUGUGCGGAGUUACUGGGCGUAAAUGGCGGGCAGGCAGCUUAUUUUGUCAGGGGGGAAAGCCCCGGGCUGAACCUGGGAGGUGCGUUUGAUACGGAUAGGCUAGAGUUCGGGAGAGGAGCGUGGAAUUCCCAGUGUAGAGGUGAAAGUCGUAGAUAUUGGGAAGAACACCGGUGGCGAAGGCGGCGCUCUGGACCGAGACUGACGCUGAGGCGCGAAAGCGUGGGGAGCAAACAGGAUUAGAUACCCAAGUAGUC